AGAGUUUGAUCAUGGCUCAGGAUGAACGCUAGCUACAGGCUUAACACAUGCAAGUCGAGGGGAAACGAUAUUGGAAGCUUGCUUCCGAUAGGCGUCGACCGGCGCACGGGUGAGUAACGCGUAUCCAACCUGCCCACCACUUGGGGAUAACCUUGCGAAAGUAAGACUAAUACCCAAUGAUAUCUCUAGAAGACAUCUGAAAGGGAUUAAAGAUUUAUCGGUGAUGGAUGGGGAGUGCGUCUGAUUAGCUUGUUGGCGGGGGUAACGGCCCACCAAGGCGACGAUCAGUAGGGGUUCUGAGAGGAAGGUCCCCCGACAUUGGAACUGAGACACGGUCCAAACUCCUACGGGAGCA
rnacentral:rRNA from 1 species